GUCACACAGCCCAACGGGUCUCAAAGCCCCAGAACAUACCCGUCCCUCCCUUGAGCUCUGGCACAAGACGGCGCAUCUGGAAGUCAGCUCAGGACGCCUGGACUCAGGGAGGUGUUGCUACCAUUCGAAUUGUUGGCUUUUCUCCGGGAGUCACUUCUCUUCUCUCCAGGGAUUACCAAGCCUUUAAAGGGACCCACUUCUCAAGGCUCAGAGUGUUUGAUUAAAUUGCUCGUUCCAGGUGUGCGCUUGGCCACAAGAUGAUACUUGAGAGGCUUGACUUCAAGAUUAUGAUCACUGUUGCGGGCGGCCUCCUGAUGGCUGCAAGCCUGCUGAUGUGCUUUAUCAUCUGUCUUAGCUACAAACUGACAAAGUCAGUGAAGGGAGAGAAGACGUUUUUACUUUAUGUGGAGUCGAGGAGCAGUUUUGCAGCAGGUAAAGGGAACGUCUCGUUUGGGGAAGUUGCCCCUGUGAGGAGGAGGGGACCCCGGAGCCCAGGCUGGGUGUCUGAGUGGCGGUCCCUGUGCAUCACGCCUGCCUCGAGCCCAUGCAGACACUGUCAAGCCAGACCCGUCAGAUUGGUGCCACGUCCCUUCUCACGGCUAAAACGCUGGAGGAGGACAGGGCUGGGAAAACGUAACGAGCAAUGACGCUGACGCAAAAGCUAAGAAACCCGCUUUGGAGGCAGGUCAACCUGAGGUUCCGCCAACUCCAGCGUCAAAGCCCCGGUGACAGUCUCGGAGAGAGAUGCCCUGGGGACCCUCAAUCCAGACAGGUGGAGCCCCGGCAUCUCCCGGCCACAGUGCUGCCUCGGGAAGCACAGUCAGCCGGGCUGCCUCCCGACUCUGUCCCUUCAGUGUCCGCGGUCCCUCAAGGGUAAGAGCUGCCUCUCACCCUGGGGGUCCCUGUGCACAGCCCAGACUCCUUAGGUGUCAGGGGUAAUAACCCCGUUGCCUUUGCACCAGAUAAACCUCUCAGACACAGCAGGAAAUCAUGAAUAGCAUUAAUUUUGCUUACUGGUAAGAGUAUGUUCCACAUUAGAAUGUUUAGUAAAAUAAUUUCCUGCUAGUUUAUUUUCUGAAAACCCAUAUAUAUCACAAUGUCUUUAUUUUACCACCCAUUCAUAUUUAACAUAAUUGCAUCAGCAUUUAACAUAAUAGCUGGCAUGGGGCUAUUAUUUUAACUCAUUAAGUGAGUUAUUAUAUGUAACGAAUGAGUUAAAGGCCCUAAAAUGUGGAAUGGUGCCUGAGAACACAUCCUGCAAUUAGGAGCUGGGCUAAGAGGUCCAAAGGAAACAUCUUCAAUUCACUGCUGACCACCAGGGCCGGAGGCCCAGCCCUAGUUCAGCACAUGGAUUCCUGCCCAAUGCUGCACUCUCUCCUCAAAGGUCUUCCUUCACCAGCACUCCG
ensembl:lncRNA